rnacentral:tRNA from 1 species
CCUGGUGUAGCUCAGAGGACAGAGCGACGGGUCUUCUACCCCGAUUGCCGCAGGUUCGAUUCCUGCCACCAGGA